rnacentral:snRNA from 1 species
AGAUGUGAGGGCGAUCUGCCUGUGACAUCUGUCACUCCAUUGAUCACCAGGGUUGGUUAGGCUGGCUAUCCAGGUGUCCCCUUCCUCCCUCACUGCUCCAUGUGCAUCUCUCCCAAAGCUGCAUGCUCAGUCAAAGAGGAUGACCUUUCCACAAUAGAGGAGGACCAGUCUUCAGUCAAGGGUACAGAGAUAGGUGUGCUCCCCUGCUAGGAUUUCCAAACAAGCUCUCAAAUGGAUGAUUUUCUUCAUCAUCUGUGUUCUGCAGUGGUGAUGAAGUUCUAAGUUUUUCAGGAAGACUUUGAGGAUGGAGAUUGUUUUCA